rnacentral:rRNA from 1 species
UACGUAGGGUGCGAGCGUUAAUCGGAAUUACUGGGCGUAAAGGGUGCGUAGGCGGAUAUAUAAGUUAGAUGUGAAAUCCCCGGGCUUAACCUGGGAAUGGCAUUUAAGACUGUAUGUCUAGAGUCUGUAAGAGGGGGGUAGAAUUCCGAGUGUAGCAGUGAAAUGCGUAGAGAUUCGGAGGAACACCAGUGGCGAAGGCGGCCCCCUGGUAUAAGACUGACGCUGAGGCACGAAAGCGUGGGUAGCAAACAGG